rnacentral:rRNA from 1 species
GUGAAUCAUCGAGUCUUUGAACGCACCUUGCGCUCCUUGGUAUUCCGAGGAGCAUGCCUGUUUGAGUGUCAUUAAUAUAUAUAUCAACCUUCUCUUUUUGAGUGGUUUGGAUGUGGGGGUUUGCUGGCCUUGUAAAGGGUUCAGCUCCCCUGAAAUGCAUUAGCAGAACAACCCUGUUCAUUGGUGUGAUAACUAUCUACGCUAUUGAAUGUAAGGGGGCAGGUUCUAGCUUUCUAACAGGUCCUCGGACAAUUCAUCAUUAAUGUGACCUCAAAUCAGGUAGGACUACCCGCUGAACUUAAGCAUAUCAAUAAGCGGAGG